rnacentral:rRNA from 1 species
AGUGAACGCUGGCGGUAGGCCUAACACAUGCAAGUCGAACGGCAGCACAGUAAGAGCUUGCUCUUACGGGUGGCGAGUGGCGGACGGGUGAGGAAUACAUCGGAAUCUACUUUUUCGUGGGGGAUAACGUAGGGAAACUUACGCUAAUACCGCAUACGACCUACGGGUGAAAGCAGUGGAUCUUCGGACCUUGCGCGAUUGAAUGAGCCGAUGUCGGAUUAGCUAGUUGGCGGGGUAAAGGCCCACCAAGGCGACGAUCCGUAGCUGGUCUGAGAGGAUGAUCAGCCACACUGGAACUGAGACACGGUCCAGACACCUACGGGAGGCAGCAGUGGGGAAUAUUGGACAAUGGGCGAAAGCAUGAUCCAGCCAUACCGCGUGGGUGAAGAAGGACUUCGGGUUGUAAAGCCCUUUUGUUGGGAAAGAAAAGCAGCAGGUUAAUACCCCGCUGUUAUGACGGUACCCAAAGAAUAAGCACCGGCUAACUUCGUG